GGUUAAGCGACUAAGCGUACACGGUGGAUGCCCUGGCAGUCAGAGGCGAUGAAGGACGUGCUAAUCUGCGAUAAGCGUCGGUAAGGUGAUAUGAACCGUUAUAACCGGCGAUUUCCGAAUGGGGAAACCCAGUGUGAUUCGUCACACUAUCAUUAACUGAAUCCAUAGGUUAAUGAGGCGAACCGGGGGAACUGAAACAUCUAAGUACCCCGAGGAAAAGAAAUCAACCGAGAUUCCCCCAGUAGCGGCGAGCGAACGGGGAGCAGCCCAGAGCCUGAAUCAGUGUGUGUGUUAGUGGAAGCGUCUGGAAAGGCGUGCGAUACAGGGUGACAGCCCCGUACACAAAAAUGCACAUACUGUGAGCUCGAUGAGUAGGGCGGGACACGUGGUAUCCUGUCUGAAUAUGGGGGGACCAUCCUCCAAGGCUAAAUACUCCUGACUGACCGAUAGUGAACCAGUACCGUGAGGGAAAGGCGAAAAGAACCCCGGCGAGGGGAGUGAAAAAGAACCUGAAACCGUGUACGUACAAGCAGUGGGAGCACGCUUAGGCGUGUGACUGCGUACCUUUUGUAUAAUGGGUCAGCGACUUAUAUUCUGUAGCAAGGUUAACCGAAUAGGGGAGCCGAAGGGAAACCGAGUCUUAACUGGGCGUUAAGUUGCAGGGUAUAGACCCGAAACCCGGUGAUCUAGCCAUGGGCAGGUUGAAGGUUGGGUAACACUAACUGGAGGACCGAACCGACUAAUGUUGAAAAAUUAGCGGAUGACUUGUGGCUGGGGGUGAAAGGCCAAUCAAACCGGGAGAUAGCUGGUUCUCCCCGAAAGCUAUUUAGGUAGCGCCUCGUGAAUUCAUCUCCGGGGGUAGAGCACUGUUUCGGCAAGGGGGUCAUCCCGACUUACCAACCCGAUGCAAACUGCGAAUACCGGAGAAUGUUAUCACGGGAGACACACGGCGGGUGCUAACGUCCGUCGUGAAGAGGGAAACAACCCAGACCGCCAGCUAAGGUCCCAAAGUCAUGGUUAAGUGGGAAACGAUGUGGGAAGGCCCAGACAGCCAGGAUGUUGGCUUAGAAGCAGCCAUCAUUUAAAGAAAGCGUAAUAGCUCACUGGUCGAGUCGGCCUGCGCGGAAGAUGUAACGGGGCUAAACCAUGCACCGAAGCUGCGGCAGCGACGCUUAUGCGUUGUUGGGUAGGGGAGCGUUCUGUAAGCCUGUGAAGGUGUGCUGUGAGGUAUGCUGGAGGUAUCAGAAGUGCGAAUGCUGACAUAAGUAACGAUAAAGCGGGUGAAAAGCCCGCUCGCCGGAAGACCAAGGGUUCCUGUCCAACGUUAAUCGGGGCAGGGUGAGUCGACCCCUAAGGCGAGGCCGAAAGGCGUAGUCGAUGGGAAACAGGUUAAUAUUCCUGUACUUGGUGUUACUGCGAAGGGGGGACGGAGAAGGCUAUGUUGGCCGGGCGACGGUUGUCCCGGUUUAAGCGUGUAGGCUGGUUUUCCAGGCAAAUCCGGAAAAUCAAGGCCGAGGCGUGAUGACGAGGCACUACGGUGCUGAAGCAACAAAUGCCCUGCUUCCAGGAAAAGCCUCUAAGCAUCAGGUAACAUCAAAUCGUACCCCAAACCGACACAGGUGGUCAGGUAGAGAAUACCAAGGCGCUUGAGAGAACUCGGGUGAAGGAACUAGGCAAAAUGGUGCCGUAACUUCGGGAGAAGGCACGCUGAUACGUAGGUGAAGCGACUUGCUCGUGGAGCUGAAAUCAGUCGAAGAUACCAGCUGGCUGCAACUGUUUAUUAAAAACACAGCACUGUGCAAACACGAAAGUGGACGUAUACGGUGUGACGCCUGCCCGGUGCCGGAAGGUUAAUUGAUGGGGUUAGCGCAAGCGAAGCUCUUGAUCGAAGCCCCGGUAAACGGCGGCCGUAACUAUAACGGUCCUAAGGUAGCGAAAUUCCUUGUCGGGUAAGUUCCGACCUGCACGAAUGGCGUAAUGAUGGCCAGGCUGUCUCCACCCGAGACUCAGUGAAAUUGAACUCGCUGUGAAGAUGCAGUGUACCCGCGGCAAGACGGAAAGACCCCG
rnacentral:rRNA from 1 species